GAUGAACGCUGGCGGCGUGCUUAACACAUGCAAGUCGAACGAAGCAUUUAAGACAGAUUACUUCGGUUUGAAGUCUUUUAUGACUGAGUGGCGGACGGGUGAGUAACGCGUGGGUAACCUGCCUCAUACAGGGGGAUAGCAGCUGGAAACGGCUGGUAAUACCGCAUAAGCGCACAGUACCACAUGGUACAGUGUGAAAAACUCCGGUGGUAUGAGAUGGACCCGCGUCUGAUUAGCUUGUUGGCGGGGUAACGGCCCACCAAGGCGACGAUCAGUAGCCGGCCUGAGAGGGUGACCGGCCACAUUGGGACUGAGACACGGCCCAGACUCCUACGGGAGGCAGCAGUGGGGAAUAUUGCACAAUGGAGGAAACGCUGAUGCAGCGACGCCGCGUGAGUGAAGAAGUAGUUCGCUAUGUAAAGCGCUAUCAGCAGGGAAGAUAGUGACGGUACCUGACUAAGAAGCUCCGGCUAAAUACGUG
rnacentral:rRNA from 1 species